rnacentral:rRNA from 1 species
GAUGAACGCUGGCGGCGUGCUUAACACAUGCAAGACGAACGGUGAAGCAGGAGCUUGCUCUUGUGGAUCAGUGGCGAACGGGUGAGUAACACGUGAGCAACCUGCCCCUGACUCUGGGAUAAGCGCUGGAAACGGCGUCUAAUACUGGAUAUGUGAUGUGACCGCAUGGUCUGCAUCUGGACAGAAUGUCGGUUGGGGAUGGGCUCGCGGCCUAUCAGCUUGUUGGUAAGGUAAUGGCUCACCAAGGCGUCGGCGGGUAGCCGGCCUGAGAGGGUGACCGGCCACACUGGGACUGAGACACGGCCCAGACUCCUACGGGAGGCAGCAGUGGGGAAUAUUGCACAAUGGGCGGAAGCCUGAUGCAGCAACGCCGCGUGAGGGAUGACGGCCUUCGGGUUGUAAACCUCUUUUAGCAGGGAAGAAGCGAAAGUGACGUUACCUGCAGAAAAAGCACCGGCUAACUACGUGCCAGCCGCCGCCGUAA